rnacentral:misc_RNA from 1 species
CGACCAUCAAGCCUUAGUUGCUUGUGUUGGAGCACUACAGCUUAGGCGGUAGGCUCUGAAAUGCAGCGGCGGGCCUGCUGAGACCCCGAGCGCAGUAAUUUUCAACUCGCUUAGGGCGUCCAGAAGGUGACUCUAGCCGUUAAACAACCCAUAUUUUCCAUGG